rnacentral:rRNA from 1 species
CUACGGGCGGCUGCAGUAGGGAAUCUUAGACAAUGGGGGAAACCCUGAUCUAGCCAUGCCGCGUGAGUGAUGAAGGCCUUAGGGUUGUAAAGCUCUUUCGCUGGGGAAGAUAAUGACGGUACCCAGUAAAGAAACCCCGGCUAACUCCGUGCCAGCAGCCGCGGUAAUACGGAGGGGGUUAGCGUUGUUCGGAAUUACUGGGCGUAAAGCGCGCGUAGGCGGGCUAUUAAGUCAGGGGUGAAAUCCCGGGGCUCAACCCCGGAACUGCCUUUGAUACUGGUAGUCUUGAGUUCGAGAGAGGUGAGUGGAAUUCCGAGUGUAGAGGUGAAAUUCGUAGAUAUUCGGAGGAACAUCAGUGGCGAAGGCGACUCACUGGCUCGAUACUGACGCUGAGGUGCGAAAGUGUGGGGAGCAAACAGGAUUAGAUACCCCCGUAGUC